rnacentral:lncRNA from 1 species
UAUAACCCCACGACUCUUAUUUAAUCAAAAUUAUGCAAAUAAUACACUUUAAAUAGCAAGGAUGUCACACAUCUCUUUCAAAACAACAUAUUACUCAAAAUAAAUUUAAAAAAAUACGCAGCUGAUUAAACUCAACAUGAAUAACUGAAAAUCUCAAAAUAAAUUAGUCCAAACUCAAGCAUAAGAGAAUCAGUCUCAGAAUAAUAAAACACACAUGAUAGACAAAUCAUGUC